rnacentral:tRNA from 1 species
GAUUUUAUGGCUCAGAUGGCUAGAGCGCCGGACUGUCAAUUCGGAGGUCACGGGUUCGAUUCCCGUUAAAAUCG